rnacentral:rRNA from 1 species
UACGUAGGGUGCGAGCGUUGUCCGGAAUUAUUGGGCGUAAAGGGCUCGUAGGCGGUUUGUCGCGUCGGGAGUGAAAACCUCGGGCUUAACUCGGGGCUUGCUUUCGAUACGGGCAGACUAGAGGUAUGCAGGGGAGAACGGAAUUCCUGGUGUAGCGGUGAAAUGACGCAGAUAUCAGGAGGAACACCGGUGGCGAAGGCGGUCUGCUGGGGUAAUGCUGACACUGAGGCGCGAAAGCGUGGGGAGCGAACAGG